rnacentral:lncRNA from 1 species
UCUUAAAGUAUUUCUUAACCCGACUACUAGGUUAACCUAACCUACCAGGUAAGUUUUAGUGAAUUUCAGUUGUCAAAGCACUAUCCGUUCAAUUAUAAGAAACAGGCAUUUUCAUGUAUAGCCCAGAUUCAGUCUCAAGAGUUUUCUUACCCCGAAGUUAUAACAAAACAUCCAGGUUUACUACUUAAAACAAAAAAAAAUCUAGUAAGCUGGGCUUUCUCAGACAUUCACGACCAGUGUGAAAGUUUUCAUUAGAGCCUUUCCUGAAAACAAGCCCUGACCUCAAGUCGUGCACUGUCCUGGUUUUGCCCUGUGGAGGUCUGAGCUACAGAAAUGCACACUGAUUGCACUUCAAAGUCAGAAAACCUAAUUUGGGGGCAGAGCCCUAGGCCUGGGUCGCCUUAACCUUUAAGGUAGGUAAUGUUUGCAGCAAGUGACAGAAAUGAAAACACUCUCAGGUAUAAGGGCCCCUAAGAUAGCUUCUAUUCUUCAUAGCCAAGUGGUGCUGUGCUGUUCUCUUUGCUACGUCCUACCCAGAACCAGGGUUUCACUGGGUUUCCCUUGAGGUACACAUUUCCUGGAUCAUUACCGUUCAUGAGAUAAAGCAUACUCAUACACACACACACACACACUUCACUUUAAACGUCAGGUUCCUAAAGCUUCAUAACAAAAUGAAGCUAAAAGAUCAUAAGCCACCAGAUUCAGCUUAUAAAUUAUAAAUCACCAAAAACAUUUUUCAAAACAACUGAUUUUGACCUCAGAGAAACUAGGCAACAGUUACUGUUUGUUUCUCGUUUAGUAGACUGGAGCAUGUCGUGAAAAAUCAGGCUUAGUACCUCGGCCGCUUUCUCGGUGAAGAAACGGUUAGUGUUCUCUUGUUUUUGCUUUCACAGAGACAACGUGUAUACUUGGGAGUGGAGAAUUUCUGGGGUUUGCUCUCCGAGAGAUGCUUGUCAGCCACAACUGGCCAGAUGUGGCUUCGUGGAACAGGCAACGAAGACCUCACUUACAGAGCCACGUCUUGGUGCUGCCGUCGUGAAUGUAGCCGCGAGUGGCACAGCCCCCUUCCCCCGUUUGCAAGGAAGAUGAGAAGUGGAGGGGCCGGGAACCCCACACCGG